GGAGGAAAGUAGGGGAUCGAAAGACCUUAUGCUUUUGGAGCGGCCGAUGUCUGAUUAGCUAGUUGGUAAGGUAAUGGCUUACCAAGGCGACGAUCAGUAGUUGGUCUGAGAGGACGACCAGCCACACUGGGACUGAGACACGGCCCAGACUCCUACGGGAGGCAGCAGUGGGGAAUUUUGGACAAUGGGCGCAAGCCUGAUCCAGCAAUGCCGCGUGAGUGAAGAAGGCCUUCGGGUUGUAAAGCUCUUUCAGUUGAGAAGAAAAGAUUGUGACUAAUAAUUGCAAUUCAUGACGGUAUCAACAGAAGAAGCACCGGCUAACUACGUGCCAGCAGCCGCGGUAAUACGUAGGGUGCGAGCGUUAAUCGGAAUUACUGGGCGUAAAGGGUGCGCAGGCGGUUCUGUAAGUCAGAUGUGAAAUCCCCGGGCUUAACCUGGGAACUGCGUUUGAAACUACAAGGCUAGA
rnacentral:rRNA from 1 species